GAUGAACGCUGGCGGCGUGCCUAAUACAUGCAAGUCGAGCGAACAGAUGAGGAGCUUGCUCCUCUGACGUUAGCGGCGCACGGGUGAGUAACACGUGGAUAACCUACCUAUAAGACUGGGAUAACUUCGGGAAACCGGAGCUAAUACCGGAUAAUAUAUUGAACCGCAUGGUUCAAUAGUGAAAGACGGUUUUGCUGUCACUUAUAGAUGGAUCCGCGCCGCAUUAGCUAGUUGGUAAGGUAACGGCUUACCAAGGCAACGAUGCGUAGCCGACCUGAGAGGGUGAUCGGCCACACUGGAACUGAGACACGGUCCAGACUCCUACGGGAGGCAGCAGUAGGGAAUCUUCCGCAAUGGGCGAAAGCCUGACGGAGCAAUGCCGCGUGAGUGAUGAAGGUCUUCGGAUCGUAAAACUCUGUUAUUAGGGAAGAACAAAUGUGUAAGUAACUAUGCACGUCUUGACGGUACCUAAUCAGAAAGCCACGGCUAACUACGUG
rnacentral:rRNA from 1 species